UUCCCAUUAUCGCCAAUCCAUUGCUCCUCUCCCUCUUUCUUAUCUCUGCCCAUUACAACCGUUCGACCGGCUCCCACCAAAAAGGGGAUUGCGCUCGACUUUUCCAUAUCUGAUAUUCAUCAUAAUCAUCUAUUCAUAUCUUCUUGUCGAUACUUUCCAGAUAAGAGAAAUAAAAGAUUCUGGAAUGGCACCGUCAGCUUACUCAAUUGAGGUGUCAACUUCAAUUUUGCCUUUUGAGCUCAUUCUUCUCCGUCUUCUUUCUCCGGCAAUUCAAACUGUAAUGACUAUGCUUAGGUUGUUAGCAUUCAACUUCUUAAAGAAAUUGUGCUGUAGUAAUGAAGAAGGAACCAAAGUUUAGUAAGGGGAGGUGGAGCCUGUGAGAGGUCCUUUGCUUUCAUAUAAAGAUGAUGAUCUCUCAAGCUCAGGCUGGAAUUAUUGAAGUUCCCUUUCUUCCAUUUAAUCAAACUGAUAAAAGGACAACAUUUACAUAUUUAGAGGAAAGAUGCUUAGAGUGAGCAAAGCACCAGAACAGCAUGGAGGUUAAGGUGAUGAAUCUGCUGAUGCUUCACCAUUGUCCAGUGCAUAUUAUGGCCAAUAUUGGAGGCUUGCUUAUUUCUAGAGGCCUUAAGAUGUGAUGGAUGAUUCAUAGAGUUACCCUCAUACUGGCCCCAACAUCCACACUUGAUUUCCCUCAUAAACUCGUGACUGGCUGCCCUGGCCAUUGGUAUAAUUGUUUUUAUGAUUUUUAAUGCCUAGCUAUCUUUCGAAUUUGAUUCCAUUAGCACAAUAUUUACGAUAUCAUGUUAAUAAUGAUAGAACAGACAUUAUCCUUGUGGGUUAAAGGAAAUUCGAAUCAUGAAAAUUAGAAGCGUUCUGUUCCACUGUCAUGAUAAGUGCUUCUGUUCUUGCAGUUUGCUCUCUGUAGUAUGUACUUCUUAUGAUUGCUUGUGUAGCAUUGCAAUGGUUAGGAUUUUGUGGUGAAUAUAGAUGUGGCCGGGACUCAUUCAAAUGGCUAAAGCAGGAGGUUUGGAUAUGAUCCAGACUUGCGUUUUCUGGGAUGGACAUGA